rnacentral:lncRNA from 1 species
CAUUGUUGUUAGCUUCUUGUUCUCCUCUUUCAUCCUAAUCAACUCUUCAUCCAUCAUCUCAUGCUGCAUAUAUCAAAUUCGUUUAUAAUAAUAAUAAUAAAAAUAAUAAUUGUUCUGACGAAAGAAUAGAUCUACCAACCGGAAUACUAUUGAUAUUUUGCGGUGGAGGAUUUGUGUUAAGGUCAAUAGCAAAAGACUUGUCCCUAGAACUUGUAUCCAUUGAAUCCAAGUUUUCUUUCUUCUAUAUCUUCGUUGAUUGUUUUUUUGGAUGAAAGGAAUGAAAAGAUUAAUUGGGUAAGAUGUGCUUUUUAUAAGGGAAGAAAGUGGAAGUAGUUAAAUUGAAUUCAUGUUUUGAAACGG